UACGUAGGGUGCGAGCGUUGUCCGGAAUUAUUGGGCGUAAAGAGCUCGUAGGCGGCUUGUCGCGUCGGAUGUGAAAACCCGCGGCUCAACUGCGGGCUUGCAGUCGAUACGGGCAGGCUGGAGUUCGGUAGGGGAGACUGGAAUUCCUGGUGUAGCGGUGAAAUGCGCAGAUAUCAGGAGGAACACCGGUGGCGAAGGCGGGUCUCUGGGCAGUAACUGACGCUGAGGAGCGAAAGCGUGGGGAGCGAACAGG
rnacentral:rRNA from 1 species